UACAGAGGGGGCAAGCGUUAUUCGGAAUUAUUGGGCGUAAAGGGCGCGUAGGCGGCGAUUCAAGUGACGGGUGAAAUCCCUCGGCUUAACCGGGGAACGGCGUCUGAUACUGGAUGGCUUGAGUUCGGGAGAGGGAUGCGGAAUUCCAGGUGUAGCGGUGAAAUGCGUAGAUAUCGGGAGGAACACCUGUGGCGAAGGCGGCCGCCUGGUUGGAUACUGACGCUGAGACGCGAAAGCGUGGGGAGCAAACAGGG
rnacentral:rRNA from 1 species